ensembl:lncRNA
AAGUCACUUCAGUCAUGUCCGACUCUUUUCAACCUUAUGGACUGUAGCCUGCCAGGCUCCUCUGUCCAUGGGGAUUCUCCAGGCAGGAAUACUGGAGUGGGUUGCUAUGCCAUCCCCUUCCAGGAAUGCGACCAGAGAGCGAACCCGGGUCUCUCAUGUCUCCUGCACGGACAGGGGGUUGCUGAAGAUUGACGGCAGACGGGGACGGCAGAGGAUGAGAUGGUUGGAUAGUAUCACCAACUGGAUGGACAGGCGUUUGAGCAAGCUCCAAGAGUUGGUGAUGGACAGGGAAGCCUGGCGCGCUGCAGUCCAUGGGGUCUCGGACACGACGGAGCGACUGAACUGAACUGCCCUAGCCUUCCUGGGAUGUCACGCAAGGGAACUCUGGAAACUGAGCCCUAAAACCCGGCAGUCGGGGGUCAGGGCAGGUUUCUGCACAGACGGUCCUUUCGGG